CAGUCGCCGCGGGAAUACGAAGGUGGCUAGCGUUGUUCGGAAUUACUGGGCGUAAAGCGUGCGUAGGCGGCUUUUUAAGUCGGAUGUGAAAUCCCUGAGCUUAACUUAGGAAUUGCAUUCGAUACUGGGAAGCUAGAGUAUGGGAGAGGAUGGUAGAAUUCCAGGUGUAGCGGUGAAAUGCGUAGAGAUCUGGAGGAAUACCGAUGGCGAAGGCAGCCAUCUGGCCUAAUACUGACGCUGAGGUACGAAAGCAUGGGGAGCAAACAGGAUUAGAUACCCCUGUAGUCCCUGUCUCUUAUAC
rnacentral:rRNA from 1 species